GACGCACGCUGGCGGCGUGCCUAAUACAUGCAAGUCGAACGCAGUGGGGACGGGUGAGUAACACGUGGGUAACCUCCCAACAGAGGGGAUAACACUUGGAAACAGGUUCUAAACCGAUAUCGAUGGAUGGACCCGCGUUUCAUUAGCUAGUUGGUGAGGUAACGGCUCACCAAGGCCACGAUGCAUUGCCGACAUGGGAGGGUGAUCGGCCACACUGGGACUGAGACAAGGCCCAGAAUCCUACGGGAGGCAGCAGUAGGGAAUCUUCGGCAAUGGACGAAAGUCUGACCGAGCAACGCCGCGUGAGUGAAGAAGGUUUUCGGAUCGUAAAACUCUGUUGGUAGAGAAGCGGUAUCUAACCAGAAAGCCACGGCUAACUACGUGCCAGCAGCCGCGGUAAUUC
rnacentral:rRNA from 1 species